UCAGCAGCCGCGGUAAUACGGAGGAUGCAAGCGUUAUCCGGAAUGAUUGGGCGUAAAGGGUCCGCAGGUGGCAUUGUAAGUCUGCUGUCAAAGAAUGAGGCUUAACCUCAUCAAGGCAGUGGAAACUACAAAGCUAGAGUACGGUCGGGGUAGAAGGAAUUCCUGGUGUAGCGGUGAAAUGCGUAGAGAUCAGGAAGAACACCGGUGGCGAAAGCGUUCUGCUAGACCUGUACUGACACUGAGGGACGAAAGCUAGGGGAGCGAAUGGGAUUAGAUACCCCAGUAGUCCUAGCCGUAAACGAUGGAUACUAGGCGUGGCUUGUAUCGACCCGAGCCGUGCCGGAGCCAACGCGUUAAGUAUCCCGCCUGGGGAGUACGCACGCAAGUGUGAAACUCAAAGGAAUUGACGGGGGCCCGCACAAGU
rnacentral:rRNA from 1 species